rnacentral:rRNA from 1 species
UACGUAGGACCCAAGCGUUAUCCGGAUUCACUGGGUGUAAAGGGUGUGUAGGCGGGCGUGCGCGUUCGGGGUGAAAGGUUCCGGCUCAACCGGAAAUAUGCCUCGGAUACGGCACGUCUUGAGUGCGGGAGAGGACGGUGGAAUUCCUGGUGUAGCGGUGAAAUGCGUAGAUAUCAGGAGGAACACCAGUGGCGAAGGCGGCCGUCUGGCCCGCAACUGACGCUGAAACACGAAAGCGUGGGGAUCAAACAGG